CCUACGGGAGGCAGCAGUAGGGAAUCUUCCACAAUGGGCGCAAGCCUGAUGGAGCAACGCCGUGUGUGUGAUGAAGGGUUUCGGCUCGUAAAACACUGUUAUAAGAGAAGAACGGCACUGAGAGUAACUGUUCAGUGUGUGACGGUAUCUUACCAGAAAGGAACGGCUAAAUACGUGCCAGCAGCCGCGGUAAU
rnacentral:rRNA from 1 species